GGGGCAGGUGGCGGGGUGCUUACCAUGGCAGUCGAACGGAAAGGCCCUGCUUUUGUGGGGUGCUCGAGUGGCGAACGCCUUUUUAGACGUGAGUAACCUGCCCUUGACUUUGGGAUAACCUCUGGAAACUGGGGCUAAUACCGGAUAGGAGCUCCUGCUGCAUGGUGGGGGUUGGAAAGUUUCGGCGGUUGGGGAUGGACUCGCGGCUUAUCAGCUUGUUGGUGGGGUAGUGGCUUACCAAGGCUUUGACGGGUAGCCGGCCUGAUAGGGUGACCGGCCACAUUGGGACUGAGAUACGGCCCAAACUCCUACGGGAGGCAACACUGGGGAAUAUUGCACAAUGGGCGGAAUCCUGAUGUAGCAACGCCGCGUGCGGGAUGACGGCCUUCGGGUUGUAAACCGCUUUCGCCUGUGACGAAGCGUGAGUGACGGUAAUGGGUAAAGAAUCACCGGCUAACUACGUGUCAGCAGCCGCGGUGAUACGUAGGGUGCGAGCGUUGUCCGGAUUUAUUGGGCGUAAAGGGCUCGUAGGUGGUUGAUCGCGUCGGAGGUGUAAUCUUGGGGCUUACCCCUGAGCGUGCUUUCGAUACGGGUUGACUUGAGGAAGGUAGGGGAGAAUGGAAUUCCUGGUGGAGCGGUGGAAUGCGCAGAUAUCAGGAGGAACACCAGUGGCGAAGGCGGUUCUCUGGGCCUUUCCUGACGCUGAUGAGCGAAAGCGUGGGGAGCGAACAGGCUUAGAUACCCUGGUAAUCCACGCUGUACACGGUGGAUACUAUGUGUGGGGUCCGUUCCACGGGUUCCGCGCCGUAACUAACGCUUUUAAUACCCCCGCCUGCCGAGUACGGCCGCA
rnacentral:rRNA from 1 species